UACGUAGGGUGCGAGCGUUAAUCGGAAUUACUGGGCGUAAAGCGUGCGCAGGCGGCGCGUUAAGACAGGUGUGAAAGCCCCGAGCUUAACUUGGGAAUUGCGCUUGUGACUGGCGUGCUGGAGUGUGGCAGAGGGAGGUGGAAUUCCCGGUGUAGCAGUGAAAUGCGUAGAGAUCGGGAGGAACAUCUGUGGCGAAGGCGACUGCCUGGACCAGCACUGACACUGAGGCAUGAAAGCGUGGGGAGCAAACAGG
rnacentral:rRNA from 1 species